UUGACCUCGAAUCAGGUAGGGAUACCCGCUGAACUUAAGCAUAUCAAUAAGCGGAGGAAAAGAAACCAGCCGGGAUUACCUCAGUAACGGCGAGUGAAGCGGCAUG
rnacentral:rRNA from 1 species